rnacentral:rRNA from 1 species
ACGGGUGAGUAAUGCUUAGGAAUCUGCCUAUUAGUGGGGGACAACAUCUCGAAAGGGAUGCUAAUACCGCAUACGUCCUACGGGAGAAAGCAGGGGACCUUCGGGCCUUGCGCUAAUAGAUGAGCCUAAGUCGGAUUAGCUAGUUGGUGGGGUAAAGGCCUACCAAGGCGACGAUCUGUAGCGGGUCUGAGAGGAUGAUCCGCCACACUGGGACUGAGACACGGCCCAGACUCCUACGGGAGGCAGCAGUGGGGAAUAUUGGACAAUGGGGGGAACCCUGAUCCAGCCAUGCCGCGUGUGUGAAGAAGGCCUUUUGGUUGUAAAGCACUUUAAGCGAGGAGGAGGCUACCGAGAUUAAUACUCUUGGAUAGUGGACGUUACUCGCAGAAUAAGCACCGGCUAACUCUGUGCCAGCAGCCGCGGUAAUACAGAGGGUGCAAGCGUUAAUCGGAUUUACUGGGCGUAAAGCGCGCGUAGGUGGCCAAUUAAGUCAAAUGUGAAAUCCCCGAGCUUAACUUGGGAAUUGCAUUCGAUACUGGUUGGCUAGAGUAUGGGAGAGGAUGGUAGAAUUCCAGGUGUAGCGGUGAAAUGCGUAGA